rnacentral:lncRNA from 1 species
CUGUCCUGUUGGUGCUGCAGGGCCCGGUGCCACAUGGCCUCCCGAGGAACACCAACGGGGCCAUUGAUGUGUAACCACUUCAGGUGUUUGAUGGCCGCUUUCUUUAACAGACAGGGCUUGCACUGGAGAUGCUGGCAGUGACCGUGGUGGCGCCAUCUCCCCAUCACCUCCCAGCACCAUCUGCUGGACGUGCACUUUGGAAGAGAAGCCAGCCAAGCCGACCUCCAGGCUGGUGGCACACCAGCAUCCUGUAUUCGCUGCGUGCUUUCAGAGCUCAUACAUCACCAUCUGAACCCACCCCACCUCUAUGAACCUCUGCAGUGCAGUCUGCUUCGCCGUGAUACCGAAGCAAACAAAACUUCGUAGCCCAGUGAGCGCCUAUGUUCGACGCAGAGAGGGGCUUCAGGAACAUCAUUAUCACAGAGCAGCGUGCUGCUUAUUUCAUUCCCCAGCCUCGUUCCGCCCGUUGUGGCUUACGGCUCGGAGCUGGAGGAAAAUCACUGUAGAAGUUUUUGGAUGUAUCAAGUGGGAGGCCAAAAUGUAUAGCUGCGUCUGGUGCAGACUUCUCCACGCUGCCAUGGUAACCAAACUAACUAAAAAUAAGAAGUAUUCCCAUAAAUGUCAAAACACACCAUGCUUUCGUGACGUACGGAGUAUUUGACCUGAAAUCUGUGAUCAUUAUGUAACGGUGUUUAACAUUAAGGUAAUUGCAUGGGAAAAUCGUCUCCAGGUAAGGCACUUUGCAUUACUUAGGUAGCCCGCCUGCUUCCCUGCAUUCUUUGUGUCGCU